rnacentral:tRNA from 1 species
GGGGCUGUCGGCUAGCUUGGUCUAGGCUUGGAGACUUGGGCUCUCUAAGUGCUGUGGUGUUUGCCACGUGCGGGAAGGACCCCGGUUCAAAUCCGGGCAGCCCCACCA